UACGAAGGGGGCUAGCGUUGCUCGGAAUCACUGGGCGUAAAGCGCGUGUAGGCGGCCUGCUAAGUCUGAUGUGAAAGCCCGAGGCUCACCCUCGGAAGUGCAUUGGAAACUGGCAGACUGGAGUCCCGGAGAGGAGGGUGGAAUUCCUGGUGUAGCGGUGAAAUGCGUAGAUAUCAGGAGGAACACCGGUGGCGAAGGCGGCCCUCGUGGACGGUGACUGACGCUGAGACGCGAAAGCGUGGGGAGCAAACAGG
rnacentral:rRNA from 1 species